ensembl:snRNA U6 U6 spliceosomal RNA
GUCUGGAAGGUAGCACAUAUACUAAAACUGGAAUGAUACAGAGACGAUUAGCAUGGCCCCUGCACAAGGACGACAUGCAAAUUUGUGAAGUGUUCCAUAUUUAA